rnacentral:rRNA from 1 species
AUACGGAGGGUGCAAGCGUUAAUCGGAAUUACUGGGCGUAAAGCGCGCGUAGGCGGAUUGUUAAGUCUCAUGUGAAAGCCCUGGGCUCAACCUGGGAACUGCAUGGGAUACUGGCAAUCUAGAAUACAGUAGAGGGUAGUGGAAUUUCAGGUGUAGCGGUGAAAUGCGUAGAGAUCUGAAGGAACAUCAGUGGCGAAGGCGACUACCUGGACUGAUAUUGACGCUGAGGUGCGAAAGCGUGGGGAGCAAACGGGAGUAGAAACCCCAGUAGUCC